CUUCUUUUUAAUUUUUAUUCAUCUGUUAUUUAGUGUUUUCGGUUCUUAUUUUUUUCUCUAUACAACAAUAACAACAAAGUCUUAUCCCACUAAAUGGGGUCGAUUACAUAGAUCAAAUGAUGUCAUCGACCUCUAUCAUGUAUCAUGUCUAUAAAGAGAUCGUUUAUAUGUAGAUCUCGUUUGACUACUUUAUGAAUGGUCUUCUUAGGUCUUCUUCUGCCUUUCAACAUUUGUCCAUCUUCGAUCUCAUCCACCUUUCUGACUGGGUGCUCUGUCAGUCUUCUUCUCACAUGUCCAAACCACCUGAGACGCGAUUCUACCAUCUUUUUUCGCAAUAAGUGCUACUCCAACGAACUCUCUCUUAUAUCUUCGUUCUUUAUUCUAUCUAAUCGCGUAUGACCACUCAUCAAUCCCAACAUCUUCAUCUCUAUCACACUUAACUUAUGUUCAUGUUCUCUUUUGGCCGCUCAACACUCUAUACCAUAAAACAUAGCCGGUUUGAUAGUAGUGCGAAGAAUUCACCUUUAAGUUUUAAAGACACUUUUUUGUCACAUAUAAAACCAGACGCACUCUGCCAUUUUGACUAAUCUGCUUAAUCCUAUGAUUUACAUCCUAUUCAAUCUCUCCAUUAUCCUGUAUGAUUCAUCCAAUAUACUUAAAACUUUUAACUUUUCGUAGGAUGUUUUCUUCUGCGGCUGAACUUACAUUCUAUAUAUUCCGUCUUGCUACGGCUUAUGCGCAGACCAUACACUUCUAGAGCUUCUCUCUAUAAAUCUAACUUCUAUUUAGGUCUUCCCUUGACUCUCCCAAAAGGAAAAUAUCAUCGACAAAAAAUAUGCACCAUGGCACAGACUCUUGGAUAUGCUCUAUGAGUAUUUUCAAGACUAAUGUGAAAAGGAGAUAGAUACUAU